rnacentral:rRNA from 1 species
GUUAGGAAUAUUGGACAAUGGGCGCAAGCCUGAUCCAGCCAUGCCGCGUGAGUGAUGAAGGCCUUCGGGUUGUAAAGCUCUUUAGUCCACGAAUAUAAUGACUGUAGUGGAAGAAUAAGCCCCGGCUAACUUCGUGCCAGCAGCCGCGGUAAUACGAAGGGGGCGAGCGUUAUUCGGAAUCACUGGGCGUAAAGCGUGCGUAGGCUGUUUUGUAAGUCAGAAGUGAAAGCCCAGGGCUUAACCCUGGAAUUGCUUUUGAAACUACAAGACUCGAAUUCGGGAGAGGAUAGCGGAAUUGUCAGUGUAGCAGUGAAAUGCGUAGAUAUUGACAGGAACACCAGUGACGCAAGCGGCUAUCUGGACCGAUAUUGACGCUGAGGCACGAAAGCGUGGGGAGCAAACAGGAUUAGAUACCCUGGUAGUCC